AUGGCCAAUUUUUUUUAAGAAACACAUUAAGUUCUAGGUUUCCCCUCUCACCCACAUGAAUGGUUCGUGGAAUCACCCAAUUCACCAUCCACAUUAGGUUUAAGGGCUCCAAAAAUGUUUUAAGAAGACUUGACAUAGUAUGCACGAACUAUCAAUUAAGAAGGAACUUAGAACCUCUAUGGCUCAUGUAUGGUAGGAAAAAAAAUAGUCAAAAGAAACACAUUAAGUUCUAGGUUUCUCCUCUCACCCACAUGAAUGGUUCGUGGAAUCACCCAAUUCACCAUCCAAAUUAGGUUUAAGGGCUCAAAAAAUGUUUUAAGAAG